UACGAAGGACCCGAGCGUUAUCCGGAUUUAUUGGGUUUAAAGGGUGCGUAGGCGUCCUGGAAAGUUAGGGUUGAAAUCUCCUUGCUUAACAAGGAAACUGGCCGUAAAACUAUCAGGAUUGAGUACAUUUGAAGCGGGCGGAAUGUGUCAUGUAGCGGUGAAAUGCUUAGAUAUGACACAGAACACCAAUUGCGAAGGCAGCUCGCUAAACUGUAACUGACGCUGAGGCACGAAAGCGUGGGGAUCAAACAGG
rnacentral:rRNA from 1 species